CAUGCAGUCGAACGAGGUCCAUGGAGCUUGCUCCGGAAGACCUAGUGGCGAACGGGUGCGUAACACGUGAGAAAUCUGCCCCGGACUCUGGAAUAACAGUUGGAAACGACUGCUAAUACCGGAUGCCUUCAUUUGGCCGCAUGGUCGUUUGAAGAAAGAUUUAUCGGUUUGGGAGGAUCUCGCGGCCUAUCAGCUUGUUGGAGAGGUAACGGCUCACCAAGGCAUCGACGGGUAGCUGGUCUGAGAGGAUGAUCAGCCACACUGGAACCGAGACACGGUCCAGACUCCUACGGGAGGCAGCAGUGGGGAAUCUUGCACAAUGGGCGAAAGCCUGAUGCAGCGAUGCCGCGUGCGGGAAGAAGGCCCUAGGGUUGUAAACCGCUUUCAGGAGGGAAGAAAAUGACGGUACCUCCAGAAGAAGGUGCGGCCAACUACGUGCCAGCAGCCGCGGUGACACGUAGGCACCAAGCGUUAUCCGGAUUUAUUGGGCGUAAAGAGCUCGUAGGCGGUUUGGUAAGUCGGGUGUGAAAACUCUGGGCUCAACCCAGAGAGGCCACUCGAUACUGCUAUGACUAGAGUACGGUAGGGGAGCGGGGAAUUCCUGGUGUAGCGGUGAAAUGCGCAGAUAUCAGGAGGAACACCAGCGGCGAAGGCGCCGCUCUGGGCCGUAACUGACGCUGAGGAGCGAAAGCAUGGGUAGCAAACAGGAUUAGAUACCCUGGUAGUCCAUGCCGUAAACGUUGGGCACUAGGUGUGGGUCUCAACCAACGAGAUCCGCGCCGUCGCUAACGCAUUAAGUGCCCCGCCUGGGGAGUACGGUCGCAAGACUAAAACUCAAAGGAAUUGACGGGGGCCCGCACAAGCAGCGGAGCGUGUGGUU
rnacentral:rRNA from 1 species